rnacentral:rRNA from 1 species
UGGGGAAUAUUGGGCAAUGGGGGCAACCCUGACCCAGCGGCGCCGCGUGGGGGAAGACGGCCUUCGGGUUGUAAACCUCUUUUGUACGGGAAGAAGGAAGUGACGGUACUGUACGAAUAAGUCCCGGCUAAAUACGUGCCGGCAGCCGCGGUAAUACGUAGGGGACGAGCGUUGUCCGGAGUUACUGGGCGUAAAGGGCGCGCAGGCUGUGCUGCAAGUCAGCUGUUAAAUGUCUGGGCUUAACCCGGGCAUGCGGUUGAGACUGCAGUGCUGGAGUGCUGUAGAGGCAAGUGGAAUUCCCAGUGUAGCGGUGAAAUGCGUAGAUAUUGGGAAGAACACCGGUGGCGAAGGCGACUUGCUGGGCAGCAACUGACGCUGAGGCGCGAAAGCCAGGGGAGCAAACGG